UCCAAAAUAGGUUGUCUUGAAAAAUGGGAUGAUGAAAAGACAAUUCAAUACAUCCUGAUCUCACCUCUCUAAAUUUUAAGAGAGACUAUUUGAGCCAACUUUUUAAAAACAAGAAUGUGAUAGCACCUUGACUUGAGACCCCCAUUAGAAUUAUAGUGUAUAGUAGUGACAUAUCCUAUAGUAGUGACAUAUCCUAAAAGCUAUGGAUAAUGAGGAUGGCAUGACUUAAAUUACUCACAAUUUCGUUCAGGUUGAAAAUCAAUUUGAUGUUUAGCAAAAUAAUCUCUCUAAAGGGGUGAAUAAUGCAAACCAAUGAAGGUCAUAGACACCUAUGUAUAGAGAUAGAUACUGCCAUCAUUCAAGCACUGUUCUUGGAAGAAUUCAGCUAAAUUAGUAAUUAUGGCACUUCUGGAUUUCUGAAAAAAUUUAAUCUCUGGAUUACUCUGGAAACACAGGUAUAAUUUCAAAUUAGCUUUUCAUUACUUUGCAAACUUAGUUUUUCAUUAAGUUGAACACUUAAAAACUUGUACCGUAAGUUUACUUCUGUUUAAAAGGAAUGAGUAUGGGAGUUUUAUGCCCUAUUUUGGACU
rnacentral:lncRNA from 1 species